CAAUAAGCGGAGGAAAAGAAACCAACAGGGAUUGCCCUAGUAACGGCGAGUGAAGCGGCAACAGCUCAAAUUUGAAAUCUGGCUCUCGGGCCCGAGUUGUAAUUUGUAGAGGAUGCUUUUGAUGCGGUGCCUUCCGAGUUCCCUGGAACGGGACGCCAUAGAGGGUGAGAGCCCCGUCUGGUUGGAUGCCAAAUCUCUGUAAAGCUCCUUCAACGAGUCGAGUAGUUUGGGAAUGCUGCUCUAAAUGGGAGGUAUAUGUCUUCUAAAGCUAAAUACCGGCCAGAGACCGAUAGCGCACAAGUAGAGUGAUCGAAAGAUGAAAAGCACUUUGAAAAGAGAGUUAAAAAGUACGUGAAAUUGUUGAAAGGGAAGCGUUUAUGACCAGACUUGGACUUGGUUAAUCAUCUGGGGUUCUCCCCAGUGCACUUUUCCAGUUCAGGCCAGCAUCAGUUUUCCCCGGGGGACAAAGGCGGCGGGAAUGUGGCUCUCUUCGGGGAGUGUUAUAGCCCGCCGUGUAAUGCCCUGGGGGGGACUGAGGUUCGCGCAUCUGCAAGGAUGCUGGCGUAAUGGUCAUCAACGACCCGUCUUGAAACACGGACCAAGGAGUCGUCUUCGUAUGCGAGUGUUCGGGUGUCAAACCCCUACGCGUAAUGAAAGUGAACGCAGGUGAGAGCUUCGGCGCAUCAUCGACCGAUCCUGAUGUUCUCGGAUGGAUUUGAGUAAGAGCAUACGGGGCCGGACCCGAAAGAAGGUGAACUAUGCCUGUAUAGGGUGAAGCCAGAGGAAACUCUGGUGGAGGCUCGCAGCGGYUCUGACGUGCAAAUCGMUUCGUCAAAAKAUGGGCAUGGGGGCGAAAGACUAAUCGAACCUUCUAGUAGCUGGUUCCGCAG
rnacentral:rRNA from 1 species